rnacentral:rRNA from 1 species
GUCUACAGCCAUGCCACCCUGAACAAGCUCGAUUCCAUCUGAUCUCUGAAGCUAAGCAGGGCGCGGCCUGGUUAGUACUUGGAUGAGAGACCACCUAGGAAGACCAGGUGCUGUAGGCA